ACUGGGCGCCCAGAGUAACCAACACCGAGACGAAUAGCGAGGGCUCGGGGAGAAAAAACGGAGGAUGGCAAACGGCAAAGCCAAGGGCACGAGAAACCUGUUUAUGCACCCUCCUGCAAUCCCACCACCUGCCCAGGCCAAGUGAGCCCCUCUCCGCUACUGGUGUUUCAUAAUGCUGGGAGCUACUUUGAUUUCAUGCAUUGCCCUUCAGCUGCCAUGUUAUGAGGACACUUGGAGAAAGCUACAGGAGAGGAACUGAGGUCUCCUGCCAUCAGCCACUUGAGUGAGCAUGGGAGUGGAUUCUCCAAACUCCAGUUAAGACUUGAGAUGUCCACAGUGGCAGCCACUAGCUUGACUGCAACUUACGAGAGACCCUGAGCCAGAGGCACUCAGUUAAGUCAUACACAGUUUCCUGACCCGUAAAACCUGUGACACAAUGAAGGUUUGUUGUUUUGGGGGUAAUCCGUUAUUCAGCAAUAGAUAACGAAUACAGAAGGCUUGUAAUUGUAUAACCAACGUGAGUUUAUAAGCGGAUAUCUGACCUCAUUUGUUUUCUCCUGAAAAAGUUAUAGAAAAAUCACAAGACUGCAAGUCACUCUCUCUCUUUCUUUUGUGGGGAAUAAACAAGUAUAAUUACAA
rnacentral:lncRNA from 1 species